UGGAUCAAUGGCAAUACUGCUUGCAUAUGUGUCAUGGAUCAUGGCUACAGGUCUGGGAGUCUAAGGUACAC